rnacentral:lncRNA from 1 species
UAAAUACCAGACUGGAUUGCCUUGGCAAAAGGAGAAACGAUUUCUUUUUGCACCUGAAAGAACGGGGUCAGCCUCAGGACCAUAGCUCACUUGGAAACGAAGUGGCGCCUGAGCUGGUCAGGGAGAAGGGAACAACUGCCUAUUUGAAGCACUAGAGGAUGGUGUUCAGGGCAGUAGGUCAAGACUGAAAUACUGGCACUGUUGAGCUUAUUGAGCUUUAUAUUAACUUCACUGGAGGCAGAAUUUCACUUGAGGUUUCCCUCAAUAAGGGAAAUCCUGCAAACAGUCGACAUGUCCUCUCCCUCUUGUCAUCUCUCUGUCAUUCUUUUCACUUGCAUUUCAAGAUUAGAAAUUAUUGGAUAAUUUAUCGGAUCUUUCUGAGGCAUGAAAACUUGGUAGAGUAAAAAAGGGGAUUUUCUUUUCAGCUGCUGAUCAGAAGUGUAUCUCUCCAUGUAACUAAUAGGGUUUCAUGGACAUGAUGGAAGCCCUCAGGGAAAAGAAUAUCAUCACUGCAAGUUGUAGAGUCGUUCAGGGGAAUUUGGUGAUUUCUGUAUUCAGAUCUUUUGCAAGAGCUUGGUCAUUUUGUUUGCCUGAUUGCAAGACCGCCUGCGAAAGUGUCACAGGCUAUGAGGCUUACCAUCAGUGGGCUCUGGAGAACUUCUGUCAGCUGGCUUUGCUCAGCAGAAGAUCCUUGCAGUCUCAUGAAAGGAACUGUUCUUGGACAACGUCCAAUUUUUAUUCAGGCCAUAUGCAAAGUCCUCAAAAAUAUCCUUUCCAAAUGCAUGUCGCUAUAUGGAUUUCUGGUUAUUGGAUGCUUCAGGUAAGUUUUAAGAAAGGCUGGUUUGCUAUUUCUAUUGGGAAAGUAGCGUACUUGU